AUUGAACGCUGGCGGCAUGCCUUACACAUGCAAGUCGAACGGCAGCACGGGUGCUUGCACCUGGUGGCGAGUGGCGAACGGGUGAGUAAUACAUCGGAACGUACCUUAUCGUGGGGGAUAACGCAGCGAAAGCUGUGCUAAUACCGCAUACGCCCUGAGGGGGAAAGCGGGGGAUCGCAAGACCUCGCGCGAUUAGAGCGGCCGAUGCCUGAUUAGCUUGUUGGUGGGGUAAAAGCCCACCAAGGCGACGAUCAGUAGCUGGUCUGGGAGGCCGAGCAGCCACACUGAGCCUGGCACACGGCCCAGACUCCUACGGGAGGCAGCAGUGGGGAAUUUUGGACAAUGGGGGCAACCCUGAUCCAGCAAUGCCGCGUGAGUGAAGAAUGCCUUCGGGUUGUAAAGCUCUUUUGUCAGGGAAGAAACACCGGCUCUAACACAGUCCGGGAAUGACGGUACCUGAAGAAUAAGCACCGGCUAACUACGUGCCAGCAGCCGCAGUAA
rnacentral:rRNA from 1 species